UGGCCAAUGAUGAGUACUUUAUAUUGUUUUGUGGAGUGGUGAUGACUUAAGUAUCAUGUACAAUAGCAUGAUGCUGAGGCCC
rnacentral:snoRNA from 1 species